UACCACCACUUAUACUGUUCUCAUUGAUACCAUUUCCAAGGAGGAGAAUUUUGUAAAAGGUGAACUGCUUUUAAAGGAUUUACAGGAGAGGAAAAUGAUAUCUUGGGAUUGGGAUGGAAGCACUCAACAUUUGCAUGAGGGGUUGAUGAUUGCGCUGCAGAAGUUGAAAUCAUUUAGUCACAGGAGAAAAAAAUAGUGCCAGAACUAGUAGAAAUCCAUCUAAUUGGGUUGAGCACACAGUGUAAAACACUUGGAGCUCUAGUGCCUUGUGAUUUGGUGAUGAGCACCUUAUAUCAUUUCUGAAAAUCAUGUGAAUCACGGAAACUGUUGAAAGAAUUUUGCUUUUGAUGUGUUGACAUCAGGAACUCUGCCUCAGAUUAUCAAUUUGCUGAUUAGCUCUGGUAAUUGUCGAAAAGAUUCCAUUAAUCAAUUUUAUCUGGAAUAGGGUGGUUAAUAUAUUUUGAUAUCAACUUUUGAUGACCUACUAGUUGGUGAUUGAUUAAUUUUUUGACAAUGCAAUUUUCUCUUAGAAUCUGACGCAGCUUCUGGUGUUAAAUUGAAGCUUAGGAUAACCGCUGGCGUCAUUAGGCCAUUUUACAUUUAAGGAAAUGCAGGUGGAGCCACUUGCCUAAAGUGUACCAAGCAAUAUUCAAACUUGUGAAGAAUUAAGUUAAUCUCAAAUUGGUAAAAUGUUGUGAUCAACAUGGAUCUGAUUUGACAACAAAUCAGGAUACAUCUAUGAUCUGGUGAUGUAUCCUGAUUUGUUGUCAAAUUCUUUGAUUCACCAAUCAAAUAGAAUAUGUUGGUUUAAUAUUUUUCCUGAUUGCUAGAAUGAGGAACAAAGCUAUGAAUAUGGUACUCUCUGCCCUCUGCAUGUGGGUCUCAUUGACUGAACACACACUUGGCAUAUGCAACAUGACCAACAUCCAUUGCAGGGUCCCAGAAUUGAUGCUCUUAAUUUAUGGCUCCUCAUGCCCAAUCUGAAAAAAACCAGCCUUUCUUGUGGACAGCAGCUCAUAUACAGAGAGAGUUUACUGUACAUUGAGCGUAUCACGUUAUUUGUAUAAAACCAAUAAAACCACCAAUCAUGUUAUAUGUUAUGUAUUUAUUGAGUUGGUGUAUGAAUAACGUGGUACAUCUGAUACAUACGAGAUUUUUCUUGGAAGAUAAAAGAGGAAGCAACUACUCCAUAUAGAUGAGAAGUGAAGUUGGGCACUUGGGAGACCUAAUAAAUAACUUAUGUGUAUCUUCGUGUUCACACUAUGCUCUCGUUAGAAGUAUGUUAUCCUAGAAGGUAAUUUACUAAUUUUACCACCAUCUUAGCGUUUGGAUCAUGAUAAGGACGGUCUUUGGAUCUUGAUCUAAGGGUUGUCAUAAGAGGUAUUGUUUUUACUAUGCGUUGUAGUAGCUCUCGAAU